rnacentral:rRNA from 1 species
UACGUAGGGGGCGAGCGUUGUCCGGAAUUACUGGGCGUAAAGCGCGUGUAGGCGGAUGUUUAAGUCAGAUGUGAAAGACCGGGGCCCAACUCCGGGGUUGCAUCUGAAACUGGGCAUCUUGAGGGCAGGAGAGGAAAGUGGAAUUCCUGGUGUAGCGGUGAAAUGCGUAGAUAUCAGGAGGAAUACCAGUGGCGAAGGCGGCUUUCUGGACUGACCCUGACGCUGAGACGCGAAAGCAUGGGGAGCAAAC